rnacentral:lncRNA from 1 species
GCAGUCAGCUUAGCUCCCUAGCAUGCCAGAAACAAAGGGCUGUGCUGGUAGAACAGCCCUGACAGACUCUAGCUGUUGCUCUUCCAAGUCAUCUAUAGGACCAUCAGCAUAUUAGAAAAAAAAAUACAACUCUAAGACCUUUCUCUGUGUCUGUGAUGAUGAAGCAUGGCAUUAGUGUUCCUCAGCCUGUCUAAUCAACUUGAAAAUCCUGUUUCCAGCAUCCUGUAAGUCUGUUUGUGAAUAUGCCUCUGUUAGACAUCCCUUGGCAGUCUUGGAAUCCUUCUGGAAGAAGCCCACAGCAUUUUCUGCUAUAGCAGUGUCUCAGAAGCAAAGCAGGUCUUAACAUAUGCUCUCAUGUUGUCUUCAAAUUUAAUCACAUAAACGGAACUAUGAAUACAACUUUUAAGUAAAGCUCUGCAUAGGUGUAAGGUGAACCCUAUGCUAUAAGUGAACAUUGUGGAAAAAGGAAAAGAUUACUUAAGAAUACUAUUCCUUAUGUAAUAUAAAGAAAAUAAGGCCAAAAACAAUGUUGGCCUAAAAUCCCAGAAUAUUCAUAGUGUUGGAUUUCGAUUUCUGAAGACUAAGCCUUUCACAGAUUACCUUAUGGAAAUGUUUGGCCAACUGCCAUAUUUAAUAAUCAUUCUUUAGCAUUAAUGCUUAAACAUUUGGCAAGAACCUUUUUAUGUCUCAUAAAAAUAUUUUAGCACAUUUUCUCUCCUACUACCUGAAGUGAUAUCCUCUAAAACUCUUAUAGUUCUGAAAAAGACAGUUUACUAAACAGUUAUGUAUUGUCUGCAAAACAGGAAAAUUUGAUUAAAUAGAAAGCCAUGUUUUUCAAAAAAUUUUCUCUUACAAAAGCAUAUCCUUUUGUUUCAUAGGCAUUUGCUCAGUUGUCCAAUCUGACUCCCCUAUUUUCUUUCAAAAGACCUCUAACCUAUAAACUUACAAGGGUCUGAUUAUCUUUUCAAAAGCAGAUAUAAUUUCAAGACUCCUAUUUUUAACCAGUGACAAAGUCAAUGAGAAAUUUGAAAUGUAUUAAUCUCCC